GGGUUGUGAGGUUAAGCGACUAAGCGUACACGGUGGAUGCCCUGGCAGUCAGAGGCGAUGAAGGGCGUGCUAAUCUGCGAUAAGCGCCGGUAAGGUGAUAUGAACCGUUAUAACCGGCGAUACCCGAAUGGGGAAACCCAGUGUGAUUCGUCACACUAUCAUUACGUGAAUACAUAGCGUAAUGAAGCGAACCGGGGGAACUGAAACAUCUAAGUACCCCGAGGAAAAGAAAUCAACCGAGAUUCCCCCAGUAGCGGCGAGCGAACGGGGAGGAGCCCAGAGCCUGAAUCAGCAUGUGUGUUAGUGGAAGCGUCUGGAAAGGCGCGCGAUACAGGGUGACAGCCCCGUACACAAAAGCGCAUGUGUUGUGAGCUCGAUGAGUAGGGCGGGACACGUGGUAUCCUGUCUGAAUAUGGGGGGACCAUCCUCCAAGGCUAAAUACUCCUGACUGACCGAUAGUGAACCAGUACCGUGAGGGAAAGGCGAAAAGAACCCCGGCGAGGGGAGUGAAAAAGAACCUGAAACCGUGUACGUACAAGCAGUGGGAGCACCCUUUGGGGUGUGACUGCGUACCUUUUGUAUAAUGGGUCAGCGACUUAUAUUCUGUAGCAAGGUUAACCGAAUAGGGGAGCCGGAGGGAAACC
rnacentral:rRNA from 2 species